GGAGUCAACUUUAGUACGAGAGGACUAGGUUGGACCAACCCCUGGUGAUCCUGUUGCACCGCCCGGUGCACCGCAGGGUAGCUACGUUGGGCAGGGAUAACCGCUGAAAGCAUCUAAGCGGGAAGCCCCCCUCAAGAUGAGGCUUGCUUGUCAUUCGACGUGAGACCCCUGGAAGACGACCAGGUUGAUAGGCCGCAGGUGUAAGGGUUGAGAGGCCCUGAGCUGAGCGGUACUAACGGUCGAACGCUUGAUCAC
rnacentral:rRNA from 1 species